rnacentral:SRP_RNA from 1 species
GGGCGAGUCUUAUACGACCAGCUCCCUCGGAAUCCCCCCAGGACAGGAAUGUAGCAAGGGUACUUGGUUGUAGCGGUGCGAUGUAAGUAGCUCGCCCAC